ensembl:snRNA U6 U6 spliceosomal RNA
GUGCCUGCUUUGGCAGCACAUAUACUAAAAUUGAAAUGAUAUAGAGAAGAUUAUCAAGGUCCUUAAGCAUGGAUAAAAUCAGGCACAAGACAAGGAUGUCCACUGUAA